UCUGCAACUCGACUCCAUGAAGCUGGAUUCGCUAGUAAUCGCGCAUCAGCCAUGGCGCGGUGAAUACGUUCCCGGGCCUUGUACACACCGCCCGUCAAGCCAUGGGAGUCGGGAGUGCCUGAAGUUCGUGACCGUCACAGGAGCGACCUAAGGCAAGACCGAUGACUGGGCUAAGUCGUAACAAGGUACC
rnacentral:rRNA from 1 species